GAUGAACGCUAGCGGCAGGCUUAAUACAUGCAAGUCGAGGGGCAGCAUGAAUGUAGCAAUACAUUUGAUGGCGACCGGCAAACGGGUGCGGAACACGUACACAACCUUCCUAUAAGUGGGGAAUAGCCCAGAGAAAUUUGGAUUAAUACCCCGUAACAUAAUGAUGUGGCAUCACAUUAUUAUUAUAGCUUCGGCGCUUAUUGAUGGGUGUGCGGCUGAUUAGAUAGUUGGCGGGGUAACGGCCCACCAAGUCUACGAUCAGUAGCUGAUGUGAGAGCAUGAUCAGCCACACGGGCACUGAGACACGGGCCCGACUCCUACGGGAGGCAGCAGUAAGGAAUAUUGGUCAAUGGACGCAAGUCUGAACCAGCCAUGCCGCGUGAAGGAUUAAGGUCCUCUGGAUUGUAAACUUCUUUUAUCUGGGACGAAAAAAGGCUAUUCUUAGUCACUUGACGGUACCAGAUGAAUAAGCACCGGCCAACUCCGUGCCAGCCGCCGCGGUAAUAC
rnacentral:rRNA from 1 species